GUUGCGAUACACAUCCUCCUUUAUGGGGUCAUGCCAGUAUUCGGCUUGCACGAGGCGUUCCUGAACAACUUUGGAGUACGCCCCAGCAUUCAGUGUUUUUCGGAUGAAGUCACAGAUGUGAGAGCUCUCUCCUGGGCAUCGAGGGAGUCCAAAAACACCUUGAUGUUGUCCCCCAACCGAGAUCAGAUUGAUCAUGGGAGGUGAAGGGCAUCUCUGAGCCACUGCCCUCAGAAAUUGGCCUCCCUGGGAGAAUCCCAUAGCAUUGUAGCCUUGCUGCAAUUUAGGAUCCUUAGCAAGUGCCUGACACACUGUUGUUACUUGGGAAUUGACAUUCAAGAAGAAGCUGUUCUCCACGUCCUCCAUCAGGGUCUUCCCAAUCUCUAAAGAUAAGACGUAAAUUCCAGGUAUUUUCUUCUCCACCAUUUUUUUAAUAGCACCCAUGCUUAAGGGAUUGCAACAGCUG
rnacentral:lncRNA from 1 species